GGCCCGGCGGGGAGCAGCGCAGGUAGAUCAGGUGAGGCCCAAGUGGGUAUCGUCACCAGUCGGAGCAGGUACAGCCCCGGUAAGGAUCGUAGUCACCAGCAGCAGGUGAGGCCCAGGUGGGGAAGCACAGGUGGGGAAGCACAGCCAGCAGAAGCAGAUAUGUCCCUGGUGGGAUCAGAGCCAAGGAGGGGCAGGUGAGGCCCAGGUGGGGCCCAUUGCCAGGUAUGCGCAGGUGCGGCCCAGUGGGAGCCACAGCAGCAGGAACAGUUAUGUUCCAGGCGGGGAUCCCGGCCAAGGCUGAGAAGGCAGAACCCAGGGCCAGGCAGGGGCUCCAGUGGAACCCGGGGAAGAUGCUGACCGCUCGCUGUACAAAGUUGCCGACAGGCUACGUUUUCUGCCAUGAGGCAUCAGGAUGCCCCUCCUUCCCAUCUCGGGGCAGGUUUCCUUUUGCAGAAAGACCUCUCUGGAGGCGGGACCCAUCACCCCAGCUCAGGGCCUCGACCCCUGGUGGCCACGGCGGGUCAGGGUCUGCACUGGGCUGGAGCUGAGAGGACUCGGGGAGGCGGCGGGGGCAGGGCUGGGCGCUGGUCCAGGCCUGGGCCUCAGCCGCGUGGCCUCCAUGCCUGGCCCUGGCCUCUGCCUCCGAGGUCAGAGGGAGGCUCAGCCUGGUUAGCAGACUCUGCAGAGCGUGGCCACAGGGUGAGGCGCGCCUGGCCCACAGGUCUCCGAGGCUCUGGCCCGGAGGACAGUGAGAGGUGUGGCCUCAGGCGCUGGAGGGACGGGCAGGGGGAGCAGGCAGGACCGGCCUCAGAAGCUCACGGGAAGGAGACAGACGCAGGCGGAGUUUGCAGCUGAAGACGACCUGACCCCUCGGUCUGGGGCUGGGAGGAGACUCGGGGUAGAAGGCCGGGCCGGGCCACGGUGGGGGAGAGAGGAGAAGACGUGCAUGUACCUGGACGGAGCUGGUCUGCAGCAGGGCUAAGGGUGCUGGGCUCCUGGACGGAGGCGUCCACUCUGGAGCAGGGUGAGGCCCUGGGGAGCGACUCACCUGGACGGUGGCAUCCACUCUGGAGCAGGGUGAGGCCCUGGGGAGUGACUCACCUGGACGGAGGCAUCCACUCUGGAGCAGGUCAGGGGAGCUGCGUAGCCUCAGCACCCAGGGCCUCAGCAUCAGCGGCUGCAGCACCCACUCAGCGAGGAGCCCGAAACCGCAGGCCCGGCUGUACUCCCAGGACCUAAAGCAGAUCGACCUGGGUGGGAACCGCGCCUUCCGAAACCGCAUCAUGUUCCGGGAGCGCUACGGCAUCAAGUGGGUCCCCGGGGCCCCGCGGGGGGAGGCGUGGGCCUGGGUCUGAAGCUGGGAUGGCGGGUGCCCGGCCCCCGGCCUGGCGGUGCCGCCUGAGCCUCGAGGGGGCGCGAGUGGGCACGUGAGGAACGAGGGCGGCGGUGUGGGGCACGGGGCGGGGGGCGCGCGGGGAGAGUGGGGACCGGUCUGGACUGGCUCAACAGGCCCCAGAGGGCCCCGCGGGAGGUGAGGGGCUCCAGGCACCAGAGACCAGGCUGGACCCGAGCCCAGGGGAACGAAUGGAACGAAUGCGGGUCGGCGGGGUCAAAAUGACGCCCCAUCUUGAUGUUUUUAGUUAUAUAUUUCUGCUCUUUUAGACAAUUUCCAUCAUUUAUUUUUUAAAAGUGUGACGAACCCCCAAAUUCCAUCACCCAGGUCCAACACUAGCGACACUGUCCUGUCCUGUGUCCUGCGUUCACCACACACUUGACCAGCACAGGUGUUUUACAGAGAACCCAAGAUGUCUGGCCUCACCCCGUCCCUAGGUUCUCAGUAUGCAUUUUAAAAGAAGGGAUUCUUGGGCUUCCCUGGUGGCGCAGUGGUUGAGAGUCCGCCUGCCGAAGCAGGGGAUGCGGGUUCGUGCCCUGGUCCGG